rnacentral:rRNA from 1 species
GACGAACGCUGGCGGCGUGCUUAACACAUGCAAGUCGAACGAAGUGGCGAACGGGUGAGUAACGCGUAAUCAACCUGCCCUUCAGAGGGGGACAACAGUUGGACACGACUGCUAAUACCGCAUACUUAAGGAGGGGAUUGCGUCUGAUUAGCUAGUUGGAGGGGUACCGGCCCACCAAGGCGAUGAUCAGUAGCCGAUCUUAGAGGAGGAACGGCCACAGGGGGACGGAGAGACGGCCCAGACUCCGACGGGAGGCAGCAGUGGGGAAUCUUCCGCAAUGGAAGAAAGUCUGACGGAGCAACGCAGCGUGAGUGAUGACGGCCUUCGGGUUGUAAAGCUGUGUUAAUCGGGACGCGGUACCGGAAUAGAAAGCCACGGCUAACUACGUGCCAGCAGACGCGGUAAUUC